GUGUCAGCCGCCGCGGUAAUACGUAGGGGGCGAGCGUUGUCCGGAUUCAUUGGGCGUAAAGAGCUCGUAGGCGGCUCAGUAAGUCGGCCGUGAAAUCCCGGAGCUCAACUCCGGGAGGCCGGUCGAUACUGCUGUGGCUAGGGUCCGGUAGAGGAGAGUGGAAUUCCCGGUGUAGCGGUGAAAUGCGCAGAUAUCGGGAGGAACACCCGUAGCGAAGGCGGCUCUCUGGGCCGGUACCGACGCUGAGGAGCGAAAGCUAGGGGAGCAAACAGGAUUAGAUACCCUGGUAGUCCUAGCUGUAAACGUUGGGCACUAGGUGUGGCGGAUUGAUUGACGUCUGCCGUGCCGUAGCAAACGCAUUAAGUGCCCCGCCUGGGGAGUACGGUCGCAAGGCUAGA
rnacentral:rRNA from 1 species